rnacentral:lncRNA from 1 species
CUGCGAUCCGGUGCAGUCCUCCCAUGUGGAACUCGCUGCCCUGCUCCUGGACGGAACUGCAUAGGUCGGCGCAGAUGCCGCUCACCGUCAGAAUCAAAGUCCCUGGUCCUCUUCGACUUCCCUUUCUGAGCAUCCUGUGUCUCCUUCCAGAUGAUCUCCAUAUUUUUAGCUCUGUCAACUAGGUCAUCAUAAUCAGUCGAGUGAACAGCAG